CCCUUGGGCCACCUUUCCCACUAAGGCCCAUCUCUCUUUCACUUAGCGCAGGCCCAUGCGCUGGUCUUCGUCUACCUGUCUGUUCGUUCAAUCUUCAGGAACACAUAGAGACUGUCAUGGCACCUCCACCUCUUCCUCUCCCUCUAGUGCUAACCACAGACAUCCUUCCGACUUUCCUCCAACACGAAAAUUAAAGAGGAAUGCAAGGAGAACUCAUUCAGGAAAUUAAAACCCAACAUUAUUGCGUUAAUUGGAUGCAUGAAGCCGUGAAACGUACACGCAUAAAACAACCAUUAAUGGCCACGUUGAGCCCCUUGAUCUGCCUGUACCGACCUCCCCUGACCCUCUAUAUAAUCUUAGGGCGUCACCCAUAUUCUCCUCAUUCGAAACCCUCUCCUUCGGGAGCAUAUACCCCUGCCCAUCGUCGUAAAUUGCUCGCCGGAGUUGCUUGACACCGCGGCUGUUCGUGGAAGUUUCCGGCGAGUUCGAGCCGGAGCACGAGUUCUUCGUUGUCCGCUUUCGGCCGGAGUUGCGCCCAACUCCGGUGACAUCUAGCAGCCACCUGAAGGCGAACCAGGAGCCGACGUCGUGUUCUGGAGAAUCACCCCGACUUCCUCUCCCUCGUUGCCGGAGAUCACCGCAUCACCUCACGUCCGAGCCGCCGCUGCCGGCCAUCUCCAUCUCCGAUAUACCGUAAAAUGAAGGAGUGACGAUAACAAGUAAAGAAUCAACUUCAAGACACAGGCAAGUUGCAAUUUGAUCAUGCCCUGACCUAUAUUUUCAUAUUAUGCAUAUAUCUUUGAAUUUAAAUACUAUGCAUGUUUUACAAAAGUUUUGCAAAAUAUUAUUACUAUCUAGAGCCUUAGGUUCAAGACUUACUAUCAUGCUUGGCCGCGCUUGCACAAAUGGGUGGGUUGAAAAUCAAACAAGUUUUAAACAAAUAAACUUGCCCUCUUUUGGGGCAAUGUUUUGUGAAAACUUUUGAAAACCAAAACUAUAUACUAUUUUACUUCUACUCCCUGGGCGGAAUGGUAUUGACGGGAGCGUCUACAAGUGAUUGCGCCCAUCGGGGUCUUGCAGUGAAUGCGCUCGACUGGGGUCUUGCACACAGGUUUUUGGUGGGGAUUGCCGUCCUGGGAAAUGAGAUCUUCCAAGUACAGUUUGAUGUAGCUUCCAGUACAGCCACAUGCUACUAUGGGCUAUGGCUUAGCUUAGUACUAACGGGAAACCCUACCCCAGGACCGCCAUCGGAGAGAGGCCUUCGUGCCGAAGUUGCGGGCGGCUUGGUGGUAUAGGGGGCUGUUACGGAAAGGCUUCGUCACAACCUCCUCCUAAUCGUACACCCAAGUGUGUAACGAUAAACGGGGUUGGUUGUGUCAUGUGGGGAACGUGUACGACCUCUGCAGAGGGUUAAACCUAAUCGAUUAGCUGUGCCCUCGGUUACGGGCAAUUUUGAGCAACUGAAGACAUGGA